rnacentral:rRNA from 1 species
GACGGAGGGCGCAAGCGUUAAUCGGAUUCAUUGGGCGUAAAGGGCGCGUAGGCGGGGAUGUUAGUCAGAUGUGAAAUCCCGGGGCUCAACUCCGGAACGGCAUUUGAAACUGCAUUCCUUGAGGGUAGACGGAGAAAACGGAAUUCCACGUGUAGCGGUGAAAUACGUAGAUAUGUGGAAGAACACCAGUGGCGAAGGCGGUUUUCUAGUUUACACCUGACGCUGAGGCGCGAAAGCAAGGGGAGCAAACAGG